GUACCGGGUAUACUCGGAAUCGGUCGAAAUCUAACCGUUAGGAUAAGUUCAGGUAUUAAAAUUAGGAAUCGGUGAAAAUCGAUUCGGUUCCAAUUCCUACAUACAGUAUACUUGGAACCGGAACUGGAACCGGAUGAUACUUACUAACAGUCUCCAUCCUCUCUCGACUCCGACUCUUCGAAGGCUCCCCAGUCUCGUCCGUCUCCAACUCUUCUUCAAGCUCUCUUUCCCGAGAUGAUGAUGAGGAUGAUACAAUGGCUCUGCUAGAAGAGCUCGAACGGAUAAAGAAGGAAAGGGCCGAGGAGAAGCUUCAGAAGAUAAUAUAUCUCUAGCUAGUUACACCACGCAUGCAUCUCCGUCUCUUUAAAUUUUGGUGCUGCAUAUUAGAGAUUACAGGCAAGUUUCUUAAUUAUAUCUUGGUACGUAGUUGAUGACGUCUUUGUAUUAUAUAUAGCAAAUUGUGGAUUUCUUAUUAUUAUUAUUUCUAAAAAGGAAAAACGACUUGUAUAAUAUUAUUAAUUUCUUAAUUAAUUUAUGUUGAUACUUAUUAUAUACAAUUUUCUAGUGAGCGGUAAAUUGCAGGUAAGUCUUUGUACUAGUAUAUAGCAAACACUAUUUUCCCAUAAUCAAUAUAUAUAUGCCGUAAAUUUCCCCAUUAAUUUGGGAACUAUCAUGCUUAUUAAUUAAUUACCCUGUAAGUGGAACAUUUAGCAAAAUUAUACUUUUUAUCCCCUAGGUUCUUAGUUUUCUAUAUUCGCGUCCACCUUUUUUUUUGUGUUUUUUUUUCCUAUUCGACCUUCCAACAUCAUUUUAAUUUUCAUCCUUCAGUUACUUUUUCUAUUAAUUACACUUAUUUGUAAUUUUAUAAUGGCUCAUAUAAGUGAACAUUGAAUUGGCUGUCUGAAUUCACAAUGGAUCACAUAGGGCAAAUCAUCUCCGCCUCUCUCAAUCUCUCUCGCUGUAUUCAAAUUUUGUAUUUUAAUUUUUUUCGUUAUAAGAGAAGGCCCAUGGCUUAGUAUGAUAAAACAAAACAUCUAAAAUCCCAUUGUUAGACUUAAAGAUAGAUAUAAUAUAAUCUCUGGUAAGUUAAUUUUGAAAAUAAUCUCAGAAUAUUCCAAAUAUGAAUAACAUCACAGAUAAUACUCUAAAUCACUACUACUUAUCCCUAUCAGAUAAGAUAUAUAGCUUCCUUGGGUCUUGUCCAUUUAUGCGCUUCAUAGCUCCUGAUGGGGGCAUUGGGAUGUUCCAUUUGAAAACAAUUAAAAUAAGACAAUAAUAAGAUCAGUGGUAUGCGCGAAAUAAACAUAAUUAAAUUUGAAAUUUAUAUACCCGUGAUAUGUGCAUUAUAUUACAAAUUAUUUUUUAUUCAUGUAUUGUAUUUUUAAGAGAUUAAUUAAUUUUGUGAUAUUGGACUAUGCAAUUUAAUAAAAUAAAAAAUAAUGGUGCGUUAUAUUGAUGGGGAGGAGAGACAAGAAAGGAUGAGAAAGAGGAAAGAGUCCUUCGGUGUGAGAGAGAGGGGAAGAGAAUUGUGGGAGGAAAAGAGUAGUGGGUAGUUAUAAAAUAUGAAUUUAUAAUAUUGCCCAUAAUUUAGUGGCUCUUGUUUUUUUUUUUUGUAUGGACAUUUUCGGGUAGUGAAUGUUACAGUAAAAAGGUCCUUCUCCCUUUAUAAUAGUAUAGUUAAAGCAAAAGUAAGAAUAUUGGAUAAAUAAAUUUAUUAAAAUGAGGAGAAAUGCAUGUCCAAUGCUCAUUUUUCCAGGCCCUUUCAUACUCGUCGAGCUGUCCUCGAGUUAUUCGAAUCCAGGAAAUAUAUAUAUUGGCUUGUUUCGUUUACAAAUGUAAUUUUAAAAUUACAACUUUAACUUAAUUCUACCCACGACAAAACAAAAUAUCUCAUACAAAGUCAAAAGAUGAGCUCCAUUUAUACCACUCAUUUUUAAAAUCAAAAUCUAAUUUUAAAAUCCUAUUUUGAAAUUAAACGCAGCAAUAGUACUUAGCGAAGGGUCAACCAGGUACAUGCAGCUGUAAAAGAUUGUGAAAUAAGACAAUUAAUUUUUACUAUAAAUUACCUGAAGUGAAAGAAAAAAAGAUUGUAAAGGGAAGAAUUCUAUUGAAAAUAAUGGCGUUCGCCCAGCCUAAAGUACGAGUUCGGCGGCGGAAUUCAGAAGGUUGUUUCUAUUACAAUAUAGUUUGGGAAUCCAAAAUGCAAAAUUGAUGAUUUACAUAUUUCUUUUUAGUUCUUUUUUAGGCGAAGGUUGGUUAAUUGAGUUGAUUUGAAUAAGGAGGUUAAGGCUACGUUUGGUAAGGGAGUGGAGUGUAAAUGCACUCCGUUUUAAAUAUAAAUAUAUAUUUUAAAUGGAAUUAUGAUGAUGGUUAGAAAAUUGUAUAUAUGAUAAUUUAUUAUUAAAUAAGAGGAAAGAGAAAAAAUUAAUGAUUAUAUUGUUAAAUUGAUUGAAGAAUUGAGUGAGUGAGAGAAUUUAUUAUAAAAAAGUUAAUUCUAGUAAUGAUAAGGAAAAAUAGUUUUAGCCCAAUGUAGUCUUACUUCUAAAAAUAAUUAUCAAUUUAGUACCACCCACAAAAUAUUUCUCAAAUUAUUUAUCACUUUGAUUUUAACUUUAACUUUAACUCAAUAAACAAUACAAUAAAAAUACACAUUUUUCAAGUUAAAAAUUUUAAUUUUAACUUUAACUCAAUACGCCACACAAUUAUUUAUCAUUUUUCACAAUCAAAAUUAAAAUUAUUUUAACUCUGAAACCAAACGCACCAUUAUAUUUUGAAAACUUUUAGAUACACCCUCAAAGGACAUAGAAAGCCUGGAGCAUAGAUCCAAUGAGGACAAGUCGCAACAAUCUUCAACUUGAAUUCAAUUUAUAAUGAAUUAUCAACUUUACAGGAGACUAUUUCUUGGAAUUGGUAGUGAGACUUGACCCAUCAAAGUUUCACAAGUUGGAAACUAUAUAUUGUAAAGCUAUUCGCAACAAAAAAAUCUCAUCACUUUGAUCUUUUAUGUUUUCUACGUUGAAUAUGACACCAAAAAAAGUAUUAUAAAAUGAUAAUGAAUUUCAUAAUACAAAGAACUCGAUAAUGAAACACUGUUCUCUCCCUUCAUUUUUCUCUUUCCCAAUAAUUCCAAUGGUGACAUGAGAUUUGACCUAACUAAUCGAAGUGCAAUGCCUCAAAAGCAAAGGAUCUCAAUAGAUUGAGUUACUAGUUAGGUUCCGCUAUGUGUCCUUAAUCAUAUUUUUACACUUCUCCAUUUUUAGGAAGUUUCCUACAUAUAUAGUUGUGUUCGUGAUUCUACAUUAAUGUAGUAAUGUCGAGUACUUUUAAGCAUUUCCUACUUGACUUGACCCUGUUGCGCCUCUUAUAGAUUAAAAAUAUUUGCUGAUAACAAAAUAAACCGUUUUAUGAUCGUUUGGUAUACGAUUUUG